AGUGAACGCUGGCGGUAUGCCUAACACAUGCAAGUCGAACGGCAGCACAGUAAGAGCUUGCUCUUACGGGUGGCGAGUGGCGGACGGGUGAGGAAUACAUCGGAAUCUACUUUUUCGGGGGGGAUAACGUAGGGAAACUUACGCUAAUACCGCAUACGACCUACGGGUGAAAGCAGGGGAUCUUCGCACCUUGCGCGAUUGAAUGAGCCGAUGUCGGAUUAGCUAGUUGGCGGGGUAAAGGCCCACCAAGGCGACGAUCCGUAGCUGGUCUGAGAGGAUGAUCAGCCACACUGGAACUGAGACACGGUCCAGACUCCUACGGGAGGCAGCAGUGGGGAAUAUUGGACAAUGGGCGCAAGCCUGAUCCAGCCAUACCGCGUGGGUGAAGAAGGCCUUCGGGUUGUAAAGCCCUUUUGUUGGGAAAGAAAAGCAGCAGGUUAAUACCCCGCUGUUCUGACGGUACCCAAAGAAUAAGCACCGGCUAACUUCGUG
rnacentral:rRNA from 1 species